rnacentral:lncRNA from 1 species
CGAUUGGUCCGGCCUGGCCGGCUCCGGUUAGCGGAGGGCUCUGAUUGGGCGGGGCGGGGAUGAGGCCGACGGGGCGAGAGAGCCAGAAGGAAAGAGAGGAGGCCGGCCCGGGGACGGAUAGGAGGGUGGGCUCCCUAAGAGAGCUAUUCAAUGACAAGAAUUUACUUUGGAGGGGAAAGAAGCAGGAGGUACCUAGAUGUUUCAGUGGAUAGAGCACUGGGCCUGAAAACAGGAAGACCAAGGAUCAGAUCAAGCCUCAGACAUUUCCUUGUGUGACCCUGGACAAGCCACAACUUCAGAUGACCAGCUUUGUCAAAUGUAUACUAAUAAUACCUACCUCUCAGAGCUAUUAUGAGAAUUAAAUGGCAUGUAAUUUGUAAGAUGCUUAGCACAGUGUCUCAGACGUAAUAGAUAUUAAUAAAUGCUAUUAUUUUUAAAGAAAUAUUUUGUAAAAUACAUUUUGUCAGAUUCUAUAAACUGAGAUAUCUAGGUGCUGUAGUAGAGAGAGUGCUAGCUGUAAAAGUCAGGAAGAUCUGAGUCUAAAUGUUGUCCUAGACACUUAGUAGUUAUGUGACCCUGGAAAAGGCACUCAACAUCUCUUAGCC